GAUGAACGCUAGCCACAGGCUUAACACAUGCAAGUCGAGGGGAAACGACAUCGAAAGCUUGCUUUUGAUGGGCGUCGACCGGCGCACGGGUGAGUAACGCGUAUCCAACCUGCCCACCACUUGGGGAUAACCUUGCGAAAGUAAGACUAAUACCCAAUGAUAUCCCACGAAGACAUCUGAAUGGGAUUAAAGAUUUAUCGGUGAUGGAUGGGGAUGCGUCUGAUUAGCUUGUUGGCGGGGUAACGGCCCACCAAGGCAACGAUCAGUAGGGGUUCUGAGAGGAAGGUCCCCCACAUUGGAACUGAGACACGGUCCAAACUCCUACGGGAGGCAGCAGUGAGGAAUAUUGGUCAAUGGGCGAGAGCCUGAACCAGCCAAGUAGCGUGCAGGAAGACGGCCCUAUGGGUGGUAAACUGCUUUUAUAAGGGAAUAAAGUGGGUCACGUGUGACUUUUUGCAUGUACCUUAUGAAUAAGGACCGGCUAAUUCCGUG
rnacentral:rRNA from 1 species